CGUAUCACCCAAGACAACUUUACGGAGUUGACGAUUGACGGAGCGAAGCGACGUCAAAGCGUUCAUUAAAGUCGAGUUGGCUUAGGGAUACGUUCGUUGGGUAGGGGAGCGUUCUGUAAGCCUGUGAAGGUGUGUCGUGAGGCAUGCUGGAGGUAUCAGAAGUGCGAAUGCUGACAUAAGUAACGAUAAAGCGGGUGAAAAGCCCGCUCGCCGGAAGACCAAGGGUUCCUGUCCAACGUUAAUCGGGGCAGGGUGAGUCGACCCCUAAGGCGAGGCCGAAAGGCGUAGUCGAUGGGAAACGGGUUAAUAUUCCCGUACUUGGUGUUACUGCGAAGGGGGGACGGAGAAGGCUAUGUUGGCCGGGCGACGGUUGUCCCGGUUUAAGCGUGUAGGUGUGUGUUCCAGGUAAAUCCGGUUCACUUUAACACUGAGGCGUGACGACGAGG
rnacentral:rRNA from 2 species